CGGCCUUCGGGUUGUAGACCUCUUUUAGUAGGGAAGAAGCGUAACAGUGACGGUACCUGCAGAAAAAGCACCGGCUAACUACGUGCCAGCAGCCGCGGUAAUACGUAGGGUGCAAGCGUUGUCCGGAAUUAUUGGGCGUAAAGAGCUCGUAGGCGGUUUGUCGCGUCUGCUGUGAAAACCCGAGGCUCAACCUCGGGCCUGCAGUGGGUACGGGCAGACUAGAGUGCGGUAGGGGAGAUUGGAAUUCCUGGUGUAGCGGUGGAAUGCGCAGAUAUCAGGAGGAACACCAAUGGCGAAGGCAGAUCUCUGGGCCGUAACUGACGCUGAGGAGCGAAAGCAUGGGGAGCGAACAGGAUUAGAUACCCUGGUAGUCCAUGCCGUAAACGUUGGGAACUAGAUGUGGGGACCAUUCCACGGUCUCCGUGUCGCAGCUAACGCAUUAAGUUCCCCGCCUGGGGAGUACGGCCGCAAGGCUAAAACUCAAAGGAAUUGACGGAAUCACUA
rnacentral:rRNA from 1 species